UACGAAGGGGGCUAGCGUUGCUCGGAAUUACUGGGCGUAAAGCGCACGUAGGCGGCUUUCUAAGUCGGGGGUGAAAUCCUGGAGCUCAACUCCAGAACUGCCUUCGAUACUGGAGAGCUCGAGUCCGGGAGAGGUGAGUGGGAACUGCGAGUGUAGAGGUGAAAUUCGUAGAUAUUCGGAAGAAACACCAGUGGCGAAGGCGGCUCACUGGUCCGGUACUGACGCUGAUGUGCGAAAAGCGUGGGGAGCAAACAGGG
rnacentral:rRNA from 1 species